rnacentral:misc_RNA from 1 species
UCUACCGGAAACGAAAUCAGCCGGAACAACUUCAUCCUACUUCGAAACGCCAAAGGCACCGACAGCGGUCACAUUCUUCUUCGAACUGAUGCACUGACCCACACGAAAAAUAACAUUAUCCUAGAGGACUCGGAAAGUGGAAAGAUCGGGCAAAUACUAAUUCAGCAGAGCGAAAUCAAGAAGGGGGUACUAGUUCAGUCGGUAAAACGGUUAAGCUCUCCAAUAUUUUUGUUGAGCGGUGGCGACAGCGGUAACGGCCAUAUUCUUAUACAAACUGCAGCACCUACUGAAGAAGCUAGACAUCAGCCCACGGUCGAAAUAGAAGAUGGCAGCGACAACAUUUUGGUACAAGCGUUGGAGGGAAUACAAGACAGCGAUUCACCCAGCAGUAGAGGACUCUCGACACCGAUUGGUUCAGAAACUCACAUUAAUCACAUGGUCGGUUGUAGUCCCUAUAAUCUGUGGAGCACAAAGCCCAAACUCGAUUACAGAAGAAUGCAAGGAAACCCUUUAUACAUCUAAGCCAACUGUCUACGAAAAAUAUUUAGAUAUGCCUAAGAUAAAAUGGCGUUGUCAGAAUAGUUGCGGUCCCUCUAUUGGUGAAGUAUUUCUGAGAUAUUUUGGAUUGACAUCUUUACACUUCAAUGAUGAAGACAUUCAAAUGGCCUUAUUGCCUCUGAUGUACAAAACCUCUGCCUACCGUCUUCGACUACGUAUCGUGGAUAUUGUUAACAAAAUUAUUAAAGACAGAAACUUGACCAAUGGCAAACUAUAUUCGGAGGCUUAUGUAGAAAACAGGCGGCAAAUUCCAGGCCGUUUAGCUACGAUUUACAGAGAGAUGUAUUAUUUAAUAAGUCGAAGCCUUGAACAUGAUAUGCCGGUGGCUCUAUCCAUAGACAACGGUUUUAAUUGCAUGGUGGUACAAGGAUUUCAAUAUGGCGGAUCCUUUGAUACAGUAAACUACACUUACGUGGAUCCCCGAACAGGGAAUUCAAAAACAGAGUCAGUUGAGAAGUUAAUGGGUCAAACUGCAAAAACUAUAGGCGACAUUUACCUAAUGGUCUACAAUCCCCCAUUGACUGAUGAUGAAACUGACUUUACAGCUUGUUCUGAACUGUUAAAUAUAUCUAAUUCUAUAAUAACAAUGGAACCAUUCGCGCAUCUGAAUCAUAGUAAACCUAACGGUAUUUGUCCCCCAGGUUUAAACUAUCAUCACGUAAUAACACAAGGCGAGGAUUUUUUUGUCCUUAAUCACACUGACUUUAAUCCAGAUGAAAUCAAAGUUGGACUUUCCUUAAAAACUGCGUUAGGUAUCGAAAAAAUAUACUUCGAAGUCAGCGACACCGAGUUCAAGAAGUAUUUAAGAACACUGUUCAAAACAGUCCGACAAACCACUGGCACCGGUCUGUUUGGGUCUAUUCAAAAACAAGACCACGAUGUUAUGGUGGAUUACAUGUUUGAACACUACGCAUAUUUUCAUUUUGCGAUCAGACGUUUGGCAAAAGAUAAAAGAUUAAAUUUGCUUGAAGUUGCAACGAACCGAAACAGAGUUUUUGAUCCAGCCAAAAUAAAAGCCAUAUACAAAUGUUGAGAUUAUUCUAUACAUAUAAGUUAAAAUUAAGAUACGAAAAAAUGAUAAGUUUGGUAUAAAAGCUAAUAUGGUCCUUUUCAGAGGCAUUUUUCAGUGCGUCACAAGUGAGAGAAAAAAAAGAGUUAUACAUACUUCUUCUGCCGCGAUUGGGAAAAAUGUUGAGAGUGAAUUUUUAUACAAACGACAGUAAAGUACGCGCACACCGACAAGAUACCUAAAAACGACAAUCUGAAGUUAGUUGAUAAAUCUUUCAAGUUACGUAUGUAUCAUUGAAAAUCGAGUGUGAAAAAAAUAUAUUGUUAUUUUUAGUAAAUAUAUUUAUUAUAAUUUUUGUGUUUUUGGAUUUGUCUUCGUCGGAAAUAGAGUAUUUUCUAUCUGACAACGCAUUCAUUCAACUCAACAAAAAUUCAAUGAACAAAAUGAUAAAUGAACUAAAAACUAACAUCUCAAAUGCUACAAAUUUAUUUCAAGAAUCUAGAAUCAACCCAAAAACUUUGAGUUCUAGCAAUCCUUCAUUGCCACGACUCUACGGUCUUCCCAAAAUCCAUAAGGUCAAUGUUCCAAUAAGACAUGUAGUCAGUUUUGUCAAUACUCCACUAGCUCCAUUAGCCAAAUUUACCCUUCUCCAAAAACACCCUUCUCCAGCAUCUUCUUAAUUAUACUCCGAAAUAAACUAUCAAAAACACUCUUGAUUUAAUAUCCAAACUUUCUUCAACUAACCUUACAAACAAUUUUACUAUGUCACAAUAAAACACUGAAAAACGUUUGUUUUUCUAUACUUCCACAAAAUUUAUUACAACUAUGUUAUUACUAGAGCGGUUUCGGCAAAGUACCUUUCUCAAGGGUCGAAACAGCUCUAGUAAUAACAUAGUUGUAAUAAAUUUUGUGGAAGUAUAGAAAAACAAACGUUUUUCAGUGUUUUAUUGUGAGAUAAAAUGAACUACCAUCAAGUAACGGUCGAAUCCAUCAAUUUUACUAUGGUCUCUUUUGACGUAACUAAUCUUUUCACUAAUGUUCCUAGACUAGAAACCAUUCCAAUUGUCAACAAUCUUCUAAGUUCAAAGAACAUAGACCCUAACAAAUGUUCUCAAAUCACCUCACUACUUCAAUUUUGCCUUUCUCAAGAUUUCUUCAUCUUCAACAACAAAAUUUACAGACAACCAGAGGGUCUAGCAAUGGGAAAUCCUUUAUCUCCACUACUUGCAGAUCUUUUUCUAGAUUCUCUUGAAAAUACUUUUGUCCAUUCACAUUCACACAUAAUUCUAUGGUACAGAUAUGUGGAUGAUAUUUUAGCAUUUAUAGAAGGUCCUCCUUCAACCUAACAACAUUCUUUCAAUAAUUAAUAACCUACAUCCAGCAAUUAAAUUCAGAUUAGAGCUAGAAACCAACAACAUGAUCAAUUUUCUAGACCUAACCAUCAAAAAGAAUAUUCAUCUUCCGUUUCUUUAUCUUCUACUACUCUAGAAUACUCAGUAUUUAGAAAACCUACUCAAACUGACCAUAUUAAUACCCAUAUCAUCUAACCAUC